UCGGGAAUUUUGGGCAAUGGGCGAAAGCCUGAUCCAGCAAUGCCGCGUGCAGGAAGAAGGCCUUCGGGUUGUAAACUGCUUUUGUACGGAACGAAAAGGCUCUUUCUAAUAAAGAGGGCCCAUGACGGUACCGUAAGAAUAAGCACCGGCUAACUACGUGCCAGCAGCCGCGGUAAUACGUAGGGUGCGAGCGUUAAUCGGAAUUACUGGGCGUAAAGCGUGCGCAGGCGGUUCUAUAAGACAGAUGUGAAAUCCCCGGGCUCAACCUGGGAAUGGCAUUUGUGACUGUAGAGCUAGAGUACGGUAGAGGGGGAUGGAAUUCCGCGUGUAGCAGUGAAAUGCGUAGAUAUGCGGAGGAACACCGAUGGCGAAGGCAAUCCCCUGGACCUGUACUGACGCUCAUGCACGAAAGCGUGGGGAGCAAACAGGAUUAGAUACCCCCGUAGUCCCUGAGCGGGCUGGCAAGGCGCAU
rnacentral:rRNA from 1 species